GAUCGAAGAGUCCCAAACCAGUGGGACUCUUAACCCCGGUACCCAAAAUGUGUGGGACUCGUGAUCAGAGAAUUUUGAUUCUCGAUCACAGAGUCCCAGAUAUGUAGGACUCAUAGUCCACGAGCAUUAGGACUCUUCAUCAGCCAUCAGAUCAGAUAGGAACCUCUAAUGUGUGUGACCCCGCAGGUUCGAACCUAAACCGGUAGCACAGGAACCAAUUCCUGUACUAAUCAAAGUGACCAUCUAGCAAUGGUACCC
rnacentral:lncRNA from 1 species